CGGCGGACGGGUGAGUAACGCGUGGGUACGUCGCCUCAUACAGGGGGAUAACAGUUAGAAAUGACUGCUAAUACCGCAUAAGACCACAGCACCGCAUGGUGCGGGGGUAAAAACUCCGGUGGUAUGAGAUGGACCCGCGUCUGAUUAGCUAGUUGGUAAGGUAACGGCUUACCAAGGCGACGAUCAGUAGCCGACCUGAGAGGGUGACCGGCCACAUUGGGACUGAGACACGGCCCAA
rnacentral:rRNA from 1 species